rnacentral:rRNA from 1 species
GACGAACGCUGGCGGCGUGCCUAACACAUGCAAGUCGAACGGAGAGAUACGAGAGCUUGCCCUUGUACAUCUUCGUGGCAAGCGGGUGAGUCACGCGUAAACAACCCGCCCAACGGAUGGGGACAACCGACGGACACGACCGAUAACACCCAAUAGUCUCCAGCUUCGCAUGAAACUGAUAGAAAAGGUUGCUUCUCGCAGAAGCAACCGCCGCCGGACGGGUUUGCGUAUGAUUAGGUGGAUGGUGUGGUAACGGCCUCCCAAGACGAAGAACGAUAGCCGGUCCUGGGGGGUGGACCGCCACCCUGGGACCGGGACCCGGUCCCGACCCCUUCGGGGGGCAGCCGGGAGGAAUCCUCCCCAAUGGACGGAAGUCUGACGGGGCAACGCCGCGGGGAGGAAGAAGGCCUUCGGGUUGUAAAGCUCUGUUAUUCGGGAAGAACGAAUCGUGUGUGUAUAAUGGACGGAAUUGACGGUACCGAAAGAGAAAGCCACGGCUAACUACGUG